CCUACGGGUGGCAGCAGUGAGGAAUAUUUGUCAAUGGCCGGAAGGCUGAACCAGCCAAGUCGCGUGAGGGAAGACGGCCCUACGGGUUGUAAACCUCUUUUGUCAGGGAGCAAGGUGUAGGUCGGGACCUGCUGUGAGAGUACCUGAAGAAAAAGCAUCGGCUAACUCCGUUCCAGCAGCAGCGGUAAUACGGAGUAUGCGAGCGUUAUCCGGAUUUAUUGGGUUUAAAGGUAGCGUAGGCCGUUCUUUAAGCGUGCCGUGAAAGUUUGUGGCUCAACCAUUAGAGUGCGGCGCGAACUGGAGGCCUUGAGUGCGCGGAAGGCAGGCGGAAUUCGCGGUGUAGCAGUGAAAUGCGUAGAUAUCGCGAAGAACCCCGAUUGCGAAGGCAGCCUGCCGCAGCGUUACUGACGCUGAAGCUCGAAAGCGCGGGUAUCGAACAGGAUUAGAUACCCUUAUAGUC
rnacentral:rRNA from 1 species